ensembl:lncRNA
AUAAUCCAAUAGUAAAGAAAUCAAAUACAUGAUAAACACUGCCAAUGAGACCAUGAUUUGACUGUGAAACCACUGAUGAUGAGCAUAAAAUACAUAGUCUCGCUACUGUUAUUUUAUUAUUGCUCCUUAAUUAUUUGAAAUAUUUCUUUAUUUUUUCUUUUUUUCUUAAAGCUGCAUUGUUGUUAAGGGCUUGUGGGUAAGCAUUUCACUGUAUUCUGCACAUGUGACAAAUACAUUCUGAUUUGAUUUUAAAAGGUUAUCAUGAUCAUUACACUAAAAUGGAACACUAAGAAACUACAAACAUUAAAUAUUAUGACAUCAGUAAAUAUUAUGACAUUGAGAAAUUAACUUUGGCAUCCAGUAUAGUAUACAGUAUUGAAUGAAACAAAAUCAAAAGUCAAUUUACAGUUUACUGUAAAGAACCUAUAGUUGUUUUAGCAAGCUUACAUCUCAUGCACCUUGCACAUAAGUUACUGUAUCUAUUUUGAAAAGCCAUAGGCUACCUUGUGGAAGCACAAACAAAAAAGUAUAGUAAUUAUGCAGCAGUAGAAAGGUCAAAUUGUCAUUCACCUAAGGUUCAACAAGAAAUGAUUCACCUUAUGAUUAUACUGAAUUCAUGAUAUUCUUAUGCUGAAUAUAAAAGUAUGAUUUUAUCCCUUUACUAACAUGUCUCCAGUGGAGGUUGUGUUACUGGAUGGCUGCAAGGAUGUUGUUGUACUCUGGGGUGUCCGGGUCCAUGUACUUCUUAUCGGACACCCAGGACUUCAGCCUCGCCUGCUGAUUCUCGUCGAUGAUCCCCUCUUUACUAUGGUGAUUCAGCAUCUGAUUGAAGCCAGCUUUAUAGUAGAACACCGUUCCUUCAGGAGAUAAAUCAAUGGAUCCCAGGGUAAGUUUAUUGGGCUUUCC